rnacentral:rRNA from 1 species
UACGUAGGGUGCGAGCGUUUGUCCGGAAUUAUUGGGCGUAAAGAGCUUGUAGGUGGCUCGUUGCGUCGGGAGUGAAAACCUGCGGCUUAACCGCAGGCCUGCUUCCGAUACGGGCGAGCUAGAGUUCGGCAGGGGAGACUGGAAUUCCGUGGUGUAGCGGUGGAAUGCGCAGAGUAUCAGGAGGAACACCGGUGGCGAAGGCGGGUCUCUGGGCCGAUACUGACGCUGAGGAGCGAAAGCGUGGGGAGCGAACAGG